CCUACGGGAGGCUGCAGUGGGGAAUAUUGGACAAUGGGCGCAAGCCUGACCCAGCAACGCCGCGUGAAUGAAGAAGGCUUUCGGGUUGUAAACUUCUUUUCGCAGGGACGAAGCAAGUGACGGUACCUGACGAAUAAGCCACGGCUAACUACGUGCCAACAGCCGCGGUAAUACGUAGGGGGCAAGCGUUAUCCGGAUUUACUGGGUGUAAAGGGCGUGUAGGCGGGACUGCAAGUCAGAUGUGAAAACCACGGGCUCAACCUGUGACCUGCAUUCGAAACUGUAGUUCUUGAGUAUUGGAGAGGCAGACGGAAUUCCUGGUGUAGCGGUGAAAUGCGUAGAGAUCAGGAGGAAUACCAGUGGCGAAGGCGGUCUGCUGGACAGCAACUGACGCUGAGGUGCGAAAGCGUGGGGAGCAAACAGGAUUAGAUACCCUUGUAGUC
rnacentral:rRNA from 1 species